GCCUCCGUGGCUUAGCGGUACUUUGUGUGAGCAAAGGGUUUACGCGUAGCGCGAAAUAGCGGCGCUCUCGUACAUGUUUAUUCGAGCGAAGCGCAGGUCGUGGGUUCAAUUCCCACCGGAGGCU
rnacentral:tRNA from 1 species